rnacentral:lncRNA from 1 species
AGCGAAUCAAACGCACCCCAAGGAGCUGAAGGGGGAAGUUGGAAGCCUGGCCGUUCUUCAGGGAUCCAACACGUGGUCCGAGGACCUGGGAGAGGACUGUAAACAACACAGGAGCUGCAGGUGAAGCUGUCGAUGAUGCUUUCUUCCUCCAACGGCAGCGGCGGUGGAGCCGAGGAGACGAAGCAGUGCAUCGUCAACGACCAGAUGGGACCCUUCAUCGUCUUCUACGUCCUCGUCUUCGUCAUCGGUCUGCCUGGAAACCUGCUGUCUCUGUGGACCUUCCUCCGCAGCCCCAGAGCCGAGCAGCAGAGCACCAGCGUCUACCUGAUCAACCUGCUG